UACGUAGGGUGCAAGCGUUAUCCGGAAUUAUUGGGCGUAAAGAGCUCGUAGGCGGUCUGUCGCGUCUGCUGUGAAAUCUGGGGGCUCAACCCCCAGCCUGCAGUGGGUACGGGCAGACUAGAGUUCGGUAGGGGAGACUGGAAUUCCUGGUGUAGCGGUGAAAUGCGCAGAUAUCAGGAGGAACACCGGUGGCGAAGGCGGGUCUCUGGGCCGAUACUGACGCUGAGGAGCGAAAGCGUGGGGAGUGAACAGG
rnacentral:rRNA from 1 species